rnacentral:rRNA from 1 species
UACGAAGGGGGCUAGCGUUGCUCGGAAUCACUGGGCGUAAAGCGCACGUAGGCGGAUCGUUAAGUCAGGGGUGAAAUCCUGGAGCUCAACUCCAGAACUGCCUUUGAUACUGGCGAUCUUGAGUUCGAGAGAGGUGAGUGGAACUGCGAGUGUAGAGGUGAAAUUCGUAGAUAUUCGCAAGAACACCAGUGGCGAAGGCGGCUUGCCAGAAUGCGCUCGACGGUGAGGGAUGAAAGCUGGGGGAGCAAACCGG